CCUUCAGAAGCACAAAUGUAAGCAGCAUGAGGUAUUUUGAAGUGUGAGACAUUUAAGUUUCAGGAACACAGUAUCCCUGUGCAGAGAGAAAAGAGUAAUUACUCAGAUGCCAACUCACAACUGGGAAAACGAGGUGGCCAAAGGAAACUUCACAAUGGAAAUCUUGUGUUUCUGGUGCACAUGUUCAGUCAGAGACACGAAAUUUUAAAGAAUCUUUGUCUAUAGGAAUGAUGCCAGCUCCUCUCUCCUGCACAUCCUCUCUGUGGAUUAAUCAUCAGGCCCCCGGUAACCGCAGUGUGACCACUAUGUGAGGCGCCUUCUUCCCUGAAACAAUGAAGGUCUGUCCGAUUGUCUUUGGGAGGCAUUUACAGCUCGAGGACAUUGCUCUGUUUUAUUGAAAGUACUCAGCACUGGCUUCUUGGGACAUGGCUGGAAGGGGUAUUGAGCUGGAUUGGGCAAUAACAGAUGUUCCAGUGGGACACUGAGACAUUCUUGCUGUGUGGGACACCCAGCAGGAACACGUUGUAAAAAAUGAGGAAGGCAAGAGUACGUUUCACAAAGCCCUGUACAAGUGCUCUGACCCAUGGCUCUGAUAAAGUUGUGUGUCCUGAUCUCAAGUCCUUAGAGGGGUCUACCCCACAUGAAGAUUACUUGAAGGAGAGGAACACAAUUGCUGGAGCCUCAGCUCUUUGUCUCAAUAACUGAUGGGAUGAGAUAGUUUCUAUUCAUCUGGCUGGAUAGAGCUCUGGAAUGCGGUAGCUCUGCCUGAGGGGCCGCUGUGGAGUGUACAGAGCAACACUGUCAUUCCCAGAAGAACGUGGCAGCCGCCUUACACAGUAGGCUGGACCGCCUCCACCCCCAUGUCUACAGGCAGCAACCAAGAGUCCUUAAAAUAAUAAACAGCUGGCUGUGGGCUCCCUACACAAACCCCAGAAUUCCAAUACAAUUCUACUUGACUGAACAGGUUUUAGACCACAGCACAGGAAACUCAGAGUCCAGAAAACUCCCACCUUCACCCGCUGUGGCUGGGCAUCCGUUGGAAUGAUUGUCCCGAAGCUUUGUGUCUGGGAGAGCACCUCCUACGAAGCAGCCAAGUGCAGGGGGAUUCAAAGGAGCUCACUCUGGCACUCUGACUGCUGUAUGGAGAAUGCUCUGGAGGUCAGUUCCUAGGAUGCAGGAAAAGCACUAGGGAUGCUAUUGCAGGAGAUGAGGGUUUAAUCAGGAAUCAGAACCUCUCUGAGUAGCAUGGAAUCAAGAAUUUAUGAUAGGAAUAAGUCUUUAUGUAAUUACGGAAGAACCUGGGGAAGGAAGGAUCUGGCAGGAGGAAAAAAAGAGCAGAAAAAAGCCACUAACCAGAAGCCACUAACCACUAACUUGCCAGAAGCACCAGCUUGGGUAGAGAAGUUGCAGCUUGCAAGGAAAUCUGGAAAGCCAGAACAUCAAGCUGCCAGAGUGCAGCUGUGAAGGGGAGCUGACGGAAAAGUGUAUGGAAACUUAAAUCCUCUGCUUAACCACCUUUUCUAUAAUUCUACCACCAAGCUUCUGGUGAUGGGCCUGGAGAGGCUACUGGUCAGCAGGGCCAGCAGUCAGGAAAACUGGAUGGAUGGGGGUGGGCAGAAGGUGAGAUCAAGCUGGAACCCUCUAGCGCCUCUGCAUCUGUCUUCCCUUCCAUGUAAGCACAGUGACCUUCAGAGAGUAACGGCUCAGAUCUGCCUUGCAAAUAUCAAGCGAAUUCCUUUUGUACCCUACUCUAACCUGGAAACAGAGAGAAGGUGAUGCUGCGGAACCGUUCUCCAGUAACCAAGUAAACACAGCCACAAC
ensembl:lncRNA